rnacentral:tRNA from 1 species
UGGGGGGUGGUGUAAUUGGCAACACGCCUGGCUCUGGACCAGGUAAUCGGGGUUCGCGUCCCUGCCCCCCAG